GGGGAAUAUUGGACAAUGGGCGCAAGCCUGAUCCAGCAAUGCCGCGUGGAUGAAGAAGGUCUUCGGAUUGUAAAGUCCUUUCGACGGGGACGAUGAUGACGGUACCCGUAGAAGAAGCCCCGGCUAACUUCGUGCCAGCAGCCGCGGUAAUACGAAGGGGGCUAGCGUUGCUCGGAAUUACUGGGCGUAAAGGGCGCGUAGGCGGCCGACCAAGUCAGGCGUGAAAUUCCCGGGCUCAACCUGGGGGCUGCGCUUGAGACUGGUUGGCUAGAGGCCGAGAGAGGGUGGUGGAAUUCCCAGUGUAGAGGUGAAAUUCGUAGAUAUUGGGAAGAACACCGGUGGCGAAGGCGGCCACCUGGCUCGGUACUGACGCUGAGGCGCGACAGCGUGGGGAGCAAAC
rnacentral:rRNA from 1 species